ACAUGCCUACAUCAUAGCGUUAAUGCAUCGUAUCCCAUUAAAACUCUAUAGUUAAGCGCGCUCAGGCUAGAGUAGUACUAGGAUGGGUGAUCACCCUGGAAUUCCUAGUGUUUUACAUGCC
rfam:Picea glauca, whole genome shotgun sequence.